AUUGAACGCUGGCGGCAGGCCUAACACAUGCAAGUCGAACGGUAACAGGAAGACGCUUGCUUCUUUGCUGACGAGUGGCGGACGGGUGAGUAAUGUCUGGGAAACUGCCCGAUGGAGGGGGAUAACUACUGGAAACGGUAGCUAAUACCGCAUAACGUCGCAAGACCAAGGAGGGGGACCUUCGGGCCUCUUGCCAUCGGAUGUGCCCAGAUGGGAUUAGCUAGUAGGUGGGGUAACGGCUCACCUAGGCGACGAUCCCUAGCUGGUCUGAGAGGAUGACCAGCCACACUGGAACUGAGACACGGUCCAGACUCCUACGGGAGGCAGCAGUGGGGAAUAUUGCACAAUGGGCGCAAGCCUGAUGCAGCCAUGCCGCGUGUAUGAAGAAGGCCUUCGGGUUGUAAAGUACUUUCAGCGGGGAGGAAGGGAGUAAAGUUAAUACCUUUGCUCAUUGACGUUACCCGCAGAAGAAGCACCGGCUAACUCCGUG
rnacentral:rRNA from 1 species